rnacentral:lncRNA from 1 species
AGUUCAGAGAAGAGGUCGGGAGCAGCUGGACGAUAGAGAACAGUCCUCCUACCAGCAGCCCUAGGGCCCUCGGCUGGCGCAGGUUCUGCUUUCUCGCGGGAAACGCUCCCCUACAUAUGCUCGCUCACAGCCCACCGCCCCGCGCCGCUGCAGCUUCUGUGCCCCGGAAAGCCUCUCCAGCAGCCUGGCAGUGCUCGAGGUGAGCACAGCGUUUCGGCCUCCCGAGCCUGCCUACUCCUCGUGGCGAUGUCUGACAGCUAGGUCAGCGGCGCGACGUCCAUGGGGGCCCUGCGCGCUGAGCGCGACGUCCAGCCCGAGCGCGGUCCCUAAGCGGGCCAGCCUUGGCCUGGGGCGCCGUCUGAAUUGGGCGCUGGCUGCACACUCAGCUGGCCUGGAAUGCCCUGGACGGCACCUGCCUGCUUGACUUCUGCCUCUACCAUCUGGUCUGGCAUUUCGCCCCAGGCUGAUGAUAAGAAGGUGCCAGGAGGCCCUGGGACACCGCGCAGGAGCACGGCGGGAGCCAUACUGGGGCAUAGCCCUGGACUGCCUCUCUGAACUGGCCUGCUCUGGGGAAGAGUGCCCUGCUUCUUUGUGCUACGAUCAUGCUUGACUCACUGGGCAAUAUUGUCUUGUCUUUCCUUUCUCUUUCUUUUUAUGGAUAUAGUAGCCCUCAUUCACUCUAGACCUGUCCUAUGAAUUGUAUGGGGAGGCUGGGCCCUGGGAAGCUUUCCCUCGGCUUUUAGAAUCUCAACCCCCUUGUGGUCAUCCAAGC